rnacentral:rRNA from 1 species
CCCUUAGAUGUUCUGGGCCGCACGCGCGCUACACUGAUGCAUUCAACGAGUCUAAAACCUGCUCUGAUAGGGGUGGGUAAUCUUUUGAAUGUGCAUCGUGAUUGGGAUAGAUGAUUGCAAUUUUUCAUCUUCAACGAGGAAUGCCUAGUAAACGAAAGUCAUCAGCUUGCAUUGAUUACGUCCCUGCCCUUUGUACACACCGCCCGUCGCUCCUACCGAUUGAAUGAUCCGAUGAAUAUCAUGGAUUGAGGAUGCAAGUAGGUUAGCCUAUCUUCAUCUUCGAGAAGUGAAGUAAAUCUUAUCAUUUAGAGGAAGGAGAAGUCGUAACA